UGUUUGCUAAAAUGUAUAAAUAGUGUAAAGUUUUAAGAAUCGGCGCACUAGCUUUGUAGAGUUACCACAUAAAACCCAUCUUUUUACCAAUAUGAAAUAAAAAACCCCCUCAGUUCUAUGUGUGAGACUAGUUGACUCCACACCAGGUGAUUAAUUCCACCCUUACAGAUGAAAAUAGCUCUUCAAGGUCUUGAGAAAAGCAUAAGUUCUCAUGAAAAUUAAGUUAACUGCAGUUCAAGCAUCUGACAACCAACCUGAUGCUUGUGCCUAGUGUAACUAAUCAGUGUGUGAAUCAUCACAUACAGAUGAACUGUGAGGAGAAGAUUUAAUAAAUACUCUCUGCAUGGAUAUUAGAGGAUUUUACUGGUUGCUAAGCUACUGCAAAACCUUUUUUAAAAUUAUUCUGUGGAUCAGACAUUUGCUGCAGGAUGUGACCUGGUAGCAUCACAAUCAAGGUACAGCAUGUGGCUCUCUGCUGGAAACAUAUCUAGAGAGAGAGACCAGGUGCCCAGUUUCUCCAACAGCCCUGCUUCAGUGUGACUGUAAGAAGGAAGGUAAUGCCAUCCCAUUCUCAUCCUUGUUCACAUGUAGGUAUGCAUGAGUGGGCAGCUCUGAUUUCCAACAAGGAAUGAAACUUUAAGCUGUGUUCUGAUCUCAGGGAUGUAAGGAGACACUUCUAAACCUGUCAAAACUUUGUGAUUUACUUCAAGUUAUUCUACAUUUUCAUGAACAAGAAGUAAGACAUUUCUUUUGUUGUUGCUGUUGCUGUUCUGAAUGUAUAUGAUGCAAUUUCCCAUUUCUUGUUUUGUAGCACAAGUUCUGAAAACACUCUUUUCUUAUGAAACAUAUUUUAUUGCCCUUAUAAGUUUAUAGCUCCUCAGUGCUGCUUUUUACAAGAACAGAAGAUGUCUGAGACCAAGAAAAACAAAAUGGAAUUUCUGGAAGAAAAAUUUACAUCCACAGCUUUUUCAAACUUUGAGACCCAAGUGUCUGCACCUUCCUAAACUUUCUAAAGGUUUAUUUGGUUUAAUUAUAUACAUUUAUUUUCUGUACUUUGUAAAUCACUGUUGCUUUUGAAUCUUAUAUUAUGUCUGUUCAGGAUAAGCUGAAGCAUCCCUUUUCUGUGCUCAGUGAACAAUGUGUUUUACAGCAUUAGUAAAUUAAAGUUACCGAUUCCUUCAAAUCAAAGUUGCAUAAAUGUUUGAAUUCACAAUGCCUUACUACAUUAUAAAGCUUUUCAGAUUAGACUAUAAGUAAGUGUAAAUUCUUAAGACUGUUCUUGCCCAAACCUGUUGGUACUGCAUGAUUACAUUCAGACUUAGUGUAGGUAAUUGUGUCUGUGAGUCUGCUCUAAUUUCUAGUAAAUUUAUACACAACAACAAAGGCAACCUUUCCUGUCAUACCAGGUGCAGAGGGAUACAUUAAGACUAACAAAGCAGGAAGGGGUCUCGAAUUGAAGCAGUUUUUAAAAUGACAGCUUAAUGAAAGCAGUGUGAAAAUACUAUCAGUUGGAUGGAAAACAUCUGUCCUCAACUAUUCCUGAAUGAUGGAAUGUUAUGAGAUACUUAAAGAAUUUUUUACCAGGCUAUGUCUCUAUCAACCAUAGUUCAGGCAUGACUUGCCCCCUUUAAUAUCAUAGCAGUGACACUCCACAAAACCUUUCAAAUGAUGUGUAGAUCCUGUAGUGGUCCUUCUGCACUAAAGGAAUCCUUCAGAAAUGUUGCAUGCCAUGAUUCAUGGAUGCAUAAUUAAGUUAAAACUUACAUUUUUGUUCUAAAUAAAAAUCUGAGAGUGUAAAAUAGCUAAUGAGACUUAUGAUAUGCUAUUCAGACAAUAUGAAAAUGAGAACCUUAAUAAAUGGCAUUAUAUAAAUUUACUACAUUACCUGUCAUUUUAUCUCAAUCCAUAAACACUAACUAUAAACUGUGAUGAAAGUCAUCCUUACAGAUUUCCUCAAUUUGCUGAUGUUUAUUUAAUGGUUUCAAGCAAUAUUGCUAAUUGAUCAUUUUCCAUUUCUGCCCAGUAUUUUAUAUUCCACCUAGCAUUUUCAGAACAGUAUGACACAUCCAAAUUGUGCCUUCAUUGUAACACAAAACCAUCCUUGAUUGACAGCAGCAGCAAGUUUGUCACAAAUUCACGUUCGUUUUUCACAGUGUGAUAUACUGACAUGUCUUACUAGCAGCAUACAAAAAUCAUUUACAAUUCUAGCUGAGCCAUUCAUGCUGCUGCGGUCAAGGGUAUGCCAUUACUUUACGUUUAAAAUCCACUGAUAUAACUCAACAGUGCAAAUUUGCUUCAGGCAGGUGGCACAGAGGUUCUCAGAUUUUUUUUUUUUCUCCAGAAUAGGAAACUAAUUGGUCAUUUGUUUUAUGUUCCAAAAGGGAAAGAAAAAACUCAAGGAAGAAAUUUGCAACAAUUUGAAAGUAGCUCUGAUAAGUACCCUUAAAAAUGUACCUGGGCAGGUGAUCAGCCCAUGAUUUAUAGACAAAACACUGGGGACAGGGUACCAAUUAAAUGAGAACAGCCACUGGAGACAUUUUUCUGCAAAACUGCUUGAAUCUCAAUACUUAUUAGAUAAUGUCACUUCAUUCAUUAUAUACCACACCUUAUACAUUUUUACAUAUAUGUUUUUAAAUUUGCUUCCCUGGGAUUAGUGUUCAUCAGAGUUGUGCUUUGAGAAAUACUGGCAAGUGAAUUUUAGUCCUGACACUGCCAUUGCUGGCAGGUUGCUUUCUCUCUUUCUGUGUGUGGGUUUGUUUGUUUGUUC